rnacentral:rRNA from 1 species
GAUGAACGCUAGCGGCAGGCCUAACACAUGCAAGUCAGGGGUAACAUGAAAAGCUUGCUUUUCUGAUGACGACCGGCGCACGGGUGCGUAACGCGUAUACAACCUACCUUUUAGCGGGGAAUAGCCCAGGGAAACUUGGAUUAAUGCCCCAUAGUAUAUAGACUUCUCCUGAAGUUUAUAUUAAACAUUUAUGGCUAUUAGAUGGGUAUGCGUCCUAUUAGUUAGUUGGUAAGGUAACGGCUUACCAAGGCAGCGAUAGGUAGGGGUCCUGAGAGGGAGAUCCCCACACUGGUACUGAGACACGGACCAGACUCCUACGGGAGGCAGCAGUGAGGAAUAUUGGACAAUGGGCGAGAGCCUGAUCCAGCCAUGCCGCGUGCAGGAAGACUGCCCUAUGGGUUGUAAACUGCUUUUACAGAGGAAGAACCACCCCCACGUGUGGGGGUUUGACGGUACUCUGCGAAUAAGGAUCGGCUAACUCCGUG